UACGAAGGGGGCUAGCGUUGCUCGGAAUCACUGGGCGUAAAGGGUGCGUAGGCGGGUUUUUAAGUCAGGGGUGAAAUCCUGGAGCUCAACUCCAGAACUGCCUUUGAUACUGGGGAUCUUGAGUUCGGGAGAGGUGAGUGGAACUGCGAGUGUAGAGGUGAAAUUCGUAGAUAUUCGCAAGAACACCAGUGGCGAAGGCGGCUCACUGGCCCGAUACUGACGCUGAGGCACGAAAGCGUGGGGAGCAAACAGG
rnacentral:rRNA from 1 species